GACGUAGGGCGCGAGCGUUGUCCGGAAUUAUUGGGCGUAAAGAGCUUGUAGGCGGUUUGUCGCGUCUGCUGUGAAAAUCCGGGGCUCAACCCCGGACUUGCAGUGGGUACGGGCAGACUAGAGUGUGGUAGGGGAGACUGGAAUUCCUGGUGUAGCGGUGAAAUGCGCAGAUAUCAGGAGGAACACCGAUGGCGAAGGCAGGUCUCUGGGCCACUACUGACGCUGAGAAGCGAAAGCAUGGGGAGCGAACAGG
rnacentral:rRNA from 1 species